UCUUGCGAUCAACUUCUUAAACACCUAACCUAUAAUUCCAUUACAACAAGCUGGCAAUUUUUUUGACUUGAGUUCGUUGUCACAUUUCUGUGGGGCCAAUUAUGUAUUACUCGUGCACUCACUGUAGUUGUCUCGCCAUGCUGCACUAUUUGCAUAUACUGGCCACUCAUGCCAGAGUAGCAUCUGCUCCAUUGCAGACUGUUUGAGGAGUAUCUGUAACAUUUGCACAACCAACAUUGUCCCAGAUUAUCGCACUACUCGUCACUUUAAACCGCAUACACUCCUUGAAGUCUCAGCGCCCCUUGCACAAUGGUCAUUGCACCGGUCUAUUGCAAUAUUAGUCAUUCGAACUGCUCUAAGUGCUAGAUGACUCUGCAUCUUUUUGCACAAUUGUUUUUUGUCAAUGUCUCUGUCUCCAAGUGUUCUGUAAAUUGACUGUCUGUUGUACUAGAGCGGCUCCAACUACCGGAGACAAAUUCCUUGUGUGUUUUGGACAUACUUGGCAAAUGAAGAUGAUUCUGAUUCUGAUUCUGAAAAAUAUAAUUAGCAUCUUCAGAAAACACAACUCAUGAAACUUCAUUUCAUUCAUUUACCUAACGGUAAGGACAUUUUGGCAUUAAAAGUUACAAAAAUAUGACUUUAGAAUUUGGUGGCCAUCCCAAAAACAUGCAUGGCAUGGUUAGUUUAAAACUCUAAAUCGCCUGUAGGUGUGAAUGUGAAUGUGAUGGUUGUUUGUUUAUAUGUGCCCUGCGAUUGGCUGGCAACCAGUUCAGGGUCUAUUCCCGCCUCUUUGCCAAAAAAUAGCUGGGAUCGUCUCCAGCACGCCCUUAGUGAGGAUAACCUGUACGGAAAAUGAACUAGUAACUACGGAAAUAGUUAGGACCUUUUGCUAAAUAACAACUCCCACUAAUUCAAGUACUCAUAUCAACAAAAUUAAGGAAUUUUCAAAAGGAAAUUCAGUGGGCCGUGUCUUUACUGUUAUUGAUCAAAUUACAUGAAAAUGGCCCAUAAAGAAGAAAGCUUUUACUGUAUAUAUGGGCACUUGGGUUACUUUGAAAGUAAAAUUCCAAUUUGUGCUGAAACAGCUCGUACCCUGGUCAUCAAGAUCUGCUUACACACUGCCAACAUGGCAAAUUGUCACAUCAGACAGAACUCACCGGGCGGGACAUUAGUGAUGCACCGAAAUGAAAAUUAUUGGCCGAAACAGAAAACCAAGAACCCAAGGCUGAAAACCGGAAGCCGACACACCGAAAUAAAUUAUUAUGCUGAUUAUUAGUAAAUUUGCUAUUAUGGCUAUGACUGCAGAUCUCCCAACAUAUAGAAAUUCGCUUCCAGAACAAUUUGUCUGAAUUUCCAUACAUUUAAAAAUAUGUCAGUGCAUAACAAACAUCAAGCUUAGUUAAUGUUUUACCAUCUAUCGGUGAGCUAAUUGUGAAGUUAGCGUAGUUUACCUGCAUGUGCCUGUAGUUUCAUGGUGAUGGAUGAUUUUCGAUGUCGUAGUUGUUGCGAGACUAUAUCUUUGAGGACACUCAAUAAUUUCACUGUAAUAAAACUGUAAAUGACUGGCAUUUACAGUUAUUUACAGUGGAUUUACUGUAAUUAGACUUGAACGGUAUAAUGCCGUAUUUUGGAGUACAGCAUGGGCACCGUAAUUUAACAGUGCAUCUACGGUAUUGUCUUUAACAAUAUACUACUAUAUUAAUGGAUUGCAGUAUGUCACCAUAAUUUAACUACCGCUACCAUAAUUUAUUCUAACCGGUACCGUACUCUGGUUUACAGUAUGUUACCCUAAUUUAACGGUGAGUGUUGGUCAUGUCAUGAAUUGUGCCCUGCAGUUCCUUUGUUGGAGCUUGGGUGGCGCUUUGCGCCCCUCUCGCCCUCUCUCUCUCUUCCCAGUAAUCAGCACCACCUCCGCCGCACACCCGUUGUCAAUCAGCCUUCAUCAUUGCCUGCAUUUAAGACUGCCAGAUCCAGGACUCCACUGCCAGAGUAUUAACGUUCAUCCGUGCGAUCCUUCUGUGCUCCCCGCCCUGCUGAUCUCUCCAGCCACGCCGUCAAGACCUUCCACCUGUCAGUGAAUUGAAUCAGGGUCCCUACGGUGGCACACAAUGAACUUAACCACUUGGCCACGGCUGUCCAUCCAGGAAAUUCCUAUAAAUCCCACAAAAAUAUUAAGGGAUGAUUGUGUCAUCGUUGUGUCCCUGGGCAAGACAUUUAACACACACAACUGCACCCUGGCCGCGGUUUUUACUUGCGUCAUAACAACCUCCUGUUUCGGUCCAAAACUGAAAAUGCACUUUUGUCCCAAUUUCUCUAGGUGCAUGACGAAUUACUAGCAGUGACCACCCCCAAAAAGCAUAUUGGUUGAAGAAGCUGAAGGAUGAAAAGUGCCUUGGCAUAUUUUGACCAAAGCAUGGAAUAGAAUAUUAUUAAGAUACCUGUGAAAGGUUUUAAUUGGGAAAAAUUAUUAUUAUUAUUAUUUUAUCUCAUUUCAGGUUAGCACUUGUCUUGCUUGAAGAGAUAAACUGAUUCACUCAUGUUUGUUGAACAGUUUUAUUAUUUUUUUAAUCACAAAGAAUAAAGAUGGUUACUGGUUAGCACAUCCACAUUACAGUUCUGAGGACCCAGAUUCAAAUCCGGCCUCAGGUGUGGAGUUGGCAUGUUCCCCCGUGCCUGUGUGGGUUUCCUUUAUUAUUAUUAGAAUUAUUAGAGCAUUAAUUGACAACUCUAAAUUGCCCGUAGGUGUGAAUGAGUUGUGAGUGCGAAUGGUUGUUUGUUUGUAUGUGCCCUGCGAUUGGCUAGCAAGCAGUUCAGGGUGUACCCCGCCUCCUGCCCGAUGAUAGCUGGGAUAGGCUCCAGCACGCCCGCGACCCUAGUGAGGAGAAGCGCCUCAGAAAAUGGAUGGAUGGAUGGAUUAUUAGACCAGGAUACACAUUUUGAGGUGUAGCACAAGUCAUCAUUAUGUAACCUGCUUUGGUACUAGCUGUCUGUGAUGCCAAUUUUCUACAGGGAGGGAGGAACACACACUUUACACACAAAUCAGCAGAGCUGGCUGCAAUGGCCAACAGAUCAGCCCACAUUGCUUCUUUCUCUGAGCUGUAGCCCAGGUUUAAAAUAGCUCAUUUCCCUCUCAGGUUUUUACCAUGAUAUUUGGGCAGGUGUUAUAUAAUCACCAUUUACUGAUACGCUCUUAUGCCUUGUCCCUUUGUUUGGAACCCUUACUCCCCAUUUAUCUUAUUCUAGCUCAGUCUCUCUUUUGACAUUACACUGUAAAUGUAAUUAAUAAUUUGUGACAAUUGGUGGACUAAUUUCCAUCGCAGAAAGCCCAGUCCGUUUGGCAUAGUAGUAUAUCAAAUGUUGUGAUGUGGACAUUUAAUUAAAAAAUACCUUGCAGAUUUUAAAGAUUAGGAUACGUGACAAUGUACAGUACAAAUUCUGUUUAUCAGUCACAAUUACUUACCACCUUUAUUAGCUGUAAAUCAAUUUCUGACUUUUGUCAUUAUAGCUGGACAUAAGAUACCAUGAAUAGAUUGUAGGUUGUUCAUUUGAUCGUUACCUGAUUUUUGGUUUGCUGAUUUCAAGAAGGUGGUAAGUGGAACAAGUAGGUGCUGGUAAAUAUGCAUAAUAACUGAUGAUGAUUUAAAAAAAAAAAAAGCACCCACGCAACAGUAUUUAUCAAAAGAAUGAGAUUCAACCUUGAAUCGUGUAUGUGUGUGUGUUAGACUGCAGAUAUUCAGAAAUUCACACGUGACACAUUCAAACUGCUAGCACCCACGUAAAAAACGCUCACAUAGACAAUUAAAAAAAAAUAAAAUAAAGCUAGCAACCACCACCGCACUCACACACACCUCCACAACUACACAACAAUAUGAACGAAAGCGGUGGUUAACCAAGUGGGGGAAAAGCAAGGGAGACAUACUGAUGGGCUUUCAUAUUUUCACUCUUGUUACAUAAAUGGGAGUGAUAAUGAUGACAAGCAAGAAUUGCAAAUAGUGAGUUGCUGCAUUGGGAUGUCGUUCAUGGUCACUGCAGAUACAGAAAAGUAAUAAUAUGAAGGGCUAUGUUGAUAUACAACCACAUAAUAAAUAGUGAUGUGGCAUUGAAUCAUAUAGCUUUCAUUAUCAUCUUACUUUUAUCCAUUCCCUUUCUUCUCUGAGACAUUCUUCAUGAGGAGUCAGAGAAAAGGGAACCCAUCACCAAAAUUGUUCAUAAAAUAGUAAUAAUAAUUUAAAACAAACAAAAAUAAAACAGAUCUGACACAAAUGAUCCAGGACAAAAAAGAGCUGCCACGCUGAGCUGCCUGCUGUUGUUAAUUUUCUUUCUGCUUUUGUAGCUCUUCUUUUAUGGCAAAAAUGCUGCAAAAAGAUUCGUGAUUAAUUAAUGUUGUGGACAAUAAUAAAGAGCAACUUAAUGAAUCUCCCAUCAAGCUGAGAACAUACUGGAGGAUGACACACACACAUUAUGUGACUGUUUUCUGCCAGAAUGAAGCAUACCACUAAUCAUAUACCUCUAUCAAUAAACCUCACCAGAAUUGUCAUGUAGCUCAACUCAACACCUAUCUUUCAUUUUAUACCCAGAAACCCACUUUUGGUAGUUAAUGCUAACAAUGGUAGUGUUGUAACAGUCGAGACUGGUCUUGGUCUUGAGACUGGUCUCUUGUCUUGGACUUGACCCCCAAACGUCUUGGUCUUGUCUGGGUCACGGACUAGCCAGACUGUGGAUUUUCCGUUCUUACCGGUAAAGGCGCGCACUGAUAUCCAACUCUUCAACUUCAUGAAUGUAAUAAUAAGGAGAAGCACUUGGAAAAAUUACAAAUACCUUUACUUCAUGUGGUACAAACCCCCACCACCCCAGUAAUAAUUGCAACCUUGGCAUUAGCAUUGAAAGCACUCUCGGUUUCUGCCUCCUCUGCACAACAGACCCUUUCCAAAAAAUUUGAAUAUCAUGGAAAAGUUGAUUUAUUUCCAUAAUUCCAUUAAAAAAGGGGAACUUUCAUAGAUUAUAGAUUCAGGGUCCAAAAUGUACACAAUUUAUUUGUUUAUUUUUACAUAAUUUGGGCUUCCAACUCAUACAACCCACAAAAUCAGAAUACUGUAAUGAAAUCAGCCCUAAUUUUGCAGGCCAUAAAUGUUUUAUCACAUUCACCGCCAUUGACGGCUUUAGAAUAUCCAUGUUAACUGGGAAGGCUGGCAGUGAAUGACUUAAACUGAGUGUCACACACUAAUCUACGAAAUUCAAAGCACCUGCACAGGUUUCCCCAGGUGUGACACUCAGUUUACUGAGACUUGGUCUCUACUUCCAAAGGUCUUGGAGCUCUAUUUUCGUGACUAGCGGAAAUCCAACACUGUGCUUGGCGUAACUCUGUGAGGAGACGUUCACCAAAAUCCAGUGCAGUAUUUUGUGCGAAUGUGAACUGAACUUAGUUCAUUUCUGCCUGAUGAACAUAAUUGAGAAGGCGCUCAUCCUGGCGUCUGUGAAAGGUUUUCAAAUGAAUGUUCAUUUUCAUUCAAGAGGGCCAGGUUUUGAUAGGGGCUUCGAGAACAAACUUAUCCGAACACACUAUAUCCAAGUCUUCAUAUGUCGGCGGAUAAAUGCUGUAUUUGGCAACAGAUUCAGUGCGGCCACGACCGCCAUUCAUGGCAUUUGUUUUCGAUAAUAAUCGGUAAUAGUUAAUAUAGUGAGCCAGGGGCGGCACGUGGCCCCUGGUUAGCACAUCUGCCUCACAGUUCUGAGGACCCAGGUUCCAAUCCGGCCUCGCCUGUGUAGAGUUUGCAUGUUCUCCCCAUGCUUACGUGGGUUUUCUCCGGGUACUCCGGUUUUCUCCCACGUCCCAAAAACAUGCAUGGUAGGUUAAUUGAAGACUAAAUUGCGCUUAGGUGUGAAUGUGAGUGUGACUGCUUGUUUGUCUUUGUGCCCUGUGAUUGGCUGGCAACCAGUUAAGGGUGUACCCCACCUUUCGCCCAGAGUCAGCUGGGCUAGCCACUAGCACGCCCGCAACCUUGGUGAGACUAAGUGGUAUGGAAAAUCCCCCUGGCCUCCGCAGAGAUUUUUUUUAAUUUUAACAUAAAUUAAGCAAUCUGGAAGAGUCGGAAGAGUACAAUAAGGUAAAUUUAAUUUUCUUCACGCAGAAAAACAUUUAUGUACACUACACAAGUACAUGUUGAAGUACAAAUUUAAGAUUUAAAUUAAAUUUGCCUCAUUUCUUUGCUUUUUUGUUUUGGCCUCCAACUUGAGCCAGGCCCAUCUCCACCUGCACCUGAUGCCUGCUUCAAGCUGUGCCACAUGAAUAGCAUCCUCCUCUUUCAGCGCUCUCAUUUUGGAAUAGAAUUGAAUACAAUCAUUGUCUGUUUCACUUCAUUUUUCACUAUUACCAACUUCAAAGGUUAAACCCAAAUGCAUCCUCCAGGAAAAUAUUAUGUAGCAUAUUUUUCUGUUUUUAUUGGCCAUUUCUGAAUUUGAAGUUUGUUGUGUUGUGUUGUGACAUAAUCCCUAACUUCGCUCCGUUGCUUAAUACAUUUAACAUUAACAUCCAUAAACUAAUUAGAUAAUUACAGGCGUUUCCUAAUUAAUACAAGAUUUACUAGCGGAUCAACUCAUCGAUGUUAUGUGUGCUUCGCAGUUCCGCUGUGACCACAACCAGGGCCACGGCCCGCAGCACUUCAAUGCGAAAAUACAAAAAACCAGUGCGACAAAUACGACACUGGCUAAUCUGAUGAGUAAAAAUGUUGCUUAAACGUAAGUGCAUGUGUGUGUGUGCGUGUGUGUGUGUAUUAGGCUUUACAAGAUCAGGAUUUUUGGGGCCGAUCAGCAAGUUAAAAAAACGAUAACCGAUAACCGAUCCGAUCACAAGAUGGAGGAAUGUGUCUAUUUAAAUGACCUGUUCAUUUACUGUAUACACUUGUGUACUUAAUUGCUAAAAAAAUUAUAUUUACAAUAAAUGAUGUAUCUUUGGGCGGCACGGUGGACGACUCACAGUUCUGAGGACCCGGGUUCAAUCCCCGGCCCCGCCUGUGUGUAGUUUGCAUGUUCUCCCUGUGCCUGCUUGGGUUUUCUCCGGGGACUCCGGUUUCCUCCCACAUUCCAAAAACAUGCAUUAAUUGGAGACUCUAAUUUGCCCGUAGGUGUGAAUGUGAGUGCGGAUGGUUGUUUGUUCUAUGUGCCCUGCGAUUGGCUGGCAACCAGUUCAGGGUAUACCCCGCCUCCUGACAGCUGGGAUAGGCUCCAGCACGCCCGCGACCCUUGUGAGGAGAAGCGGCUCAGAAAAUGGAUGGAUAGAUGGAUGUAUCUUUGUUCCUCUAUUAUAUAUAUAUAUAUAUAUAUAUAUAUAUAUAUAUUGACAGACAGAACAAAUGAAUGUUCUUCUAUUAGAUGGCAGGAAGUACAUACAGUAAUUAAUGUAUCCACUUUUUGUGACAUUUUUGUAUGUUGGUGUGCCGUGAGAUUUUUCAAUUGUAAAAUAUGUUCUUUUGCUCCAUAAAGGUUGGAAAUCACUGCUCUAGUCAGAUCGUGUAUUCUAAUCAGUCAGGUCAAACCAACAUUACAUGACAGAAAUAAUGGGUGCUAAAUUACUGUAAUUAAAUUACUUUAUUUUUAAUUAAAGGAAUUCACCCACACCGAAACUAUAGAGCAUGAUUCAACAGAACGGCGGCAUGUUUACAUACAACCGUUAGCGCUAGCACUAGCUUGUUAGGCUACAUAACGUUUUUGUUGCCUGCUUGCGAGCCGUAUCGUAUUCGAAGUACGUGAACAUACCUCAAGCAAGCCUUAAACGAACGUCCUCUCCUGUCCUGAGUACCGGUGACCACCAACACACGUUUUCCCCGUUUUGUCCUUAUAAUACAACAUGUUGCCACGGUAACGAGUGUACCCGGUCGCAUUUGAGUUGACAAGAUAAAGCCCAUUGAUCGUAAAAAUGGUAUCGGAAAAAAAGAUUUUAGUGCAGUAGUCUGACAUAGUGGAAGCUAAAAAGACCAAAUUUGUCUUGAAGUCUGAUCCGGACAUUACUUGUUGUCUGUCUCAGACGUGUUGUCUGUUCCACACCGCCGACAUGUUUUUAUUUAGUUUUUUUGUUUUUUUAACUUUAUUGGCCGUCAGAUAUUUACAGGACUACGCCAAAAGACACGCGACAAGGCUAAAAAUAAACUAGCUUUUGGAUUCAAAUAUACUGUGCACGAUGGCGACGCGGAGUAAAUGUCUUUUGCAGAGCCGAUCAAUGAUGUCACUGAUUGGAUCGGCGAAUUAUGGCAUUAAAGCCGAUCAGCCGAACAGCAUAAAAUGCUAAUUAUUGCCCGAUACUGAUAAGGCAGAUAAAAUCGGUGUAAAGUCUAGUGUUUAUGCACAGUCAAAACUACAAAAAAAAAAUCUGCAAUUUACUGCACGGUGUUUUCUCAAGUUAUAAGUGAGCUGUAAUAUCCACGUUUGGGCAGACAGUGCCAGACAAAUAAUACAAUACGAUUCACGUAAAUGGCCUAUUUUGAGUUCAAAAUGGCGAAUUGCACUGAAAGGCGAUUAAUUUGCAUGUAUGUACACUAUACGACAACGAAACGCUGAGAAAAGUAUCCAUCCAUCCAUUUUCUGAGCCUCUGCUCCUCACUAGGGUCGCGGGCGUGCUGGAGCCUAUCCAAGCUGUCAUCGGGCAGGAGGCAGGGUACACCCUGAACUGAUUGCCAGCCAAUCGCAGGGCACAUAGAAACAAACAACCAUUUGCACUCACAUUCACACCUACGGGCAAUUUAGAGUUGUCAAUCAACCUAGCAUGCAUGUUUUUGGGAUGUGGGAGGAAACCGGAGUGCCCGGAGAAAACCCACGCAGGCACGGGGAGAACAUGCAAACUUCACACAGGCGGGGCCGGGGAUUGAACCCCACUCCUCAGAACUGUGAGGCAGACGCUCUCACCAGUCAUCCACCGUGCCGCCUGGUUUCAUUUAAUUAAAAAAAAAUAAAUAAUAAAAUGCACAACAUAAAUCAACAAUUGUGACAGCUAAAUCAAAUAUACAAAAUCAAAUAUAGAUUCCAAGAAGUUAACAUACACAGAAACAACAAUGACACUUAAUGUAACAAUAAGGAGGUUAAUUAUUGCACACCAAAAAAAAAAAAAAGAAAAAUCUAUAUUGCAUUGUGGGAAUCGUGCGGCUGACGUCACGUAUGCUUUGUGACCAAUCAUGCAAAUAGCUACACGGCGAGCCUCUUGUACAUUACAGUCUGCUUUAGUCAAUGUUAUGUUCUCAAGAAUCAGUCUGGUACCGUAUUUAUUUUUUCAUUCUCUAUAUUUACCUUUAUCGAUCAGCACACAGCUAAUAUCCAUUCGAAAUGAAACUAAAUUCUUCUUCGUGUCCUUUUCUUCGCCUCUUUUAGACGUAAUAUUUUACAUUUACGAUUUAUAUUUGUGUUUGAAAUUGCCUCACUGGAAAUGUUUGUAUCCAAGAAAUUGCAGUUUCCUGCUACAGUAUAUGCACAAUGUGAAUUUAAGGAAAAUAUUGUUGAUUAUCUAAAAGAGGAAACCAAUUGGUCGUUCAUUAUUAAGUGAAUGUCUCAUUUUAUCUUGUGUAUUCAUAAUUGCUCUUUAACCAAGCAAAAAUAUAUUUUAAACAUAUACUUGAUUAUUCCAAUGGAAUACUCUAUUACUAAUUGCAGCACUACUGGAUGCAAAUUCGUAUUUGUGACAGGUUUGUUUAAUGUCACUUGAGAAAUAAAAGGAGAAAAAGUAAGUCAUAGCAUAGCAUUUUCAUAGAAUAAGUGAAAACCUACUAUCAAUCGGUUUUGUUGGGCAAUAAACUAAGCCCCCCUUGACAACUGGCUUUGAAGGUGGAACAUUUUUGUUCAGUCUCCGAGUUUUCGUAUAAAGAUUCAAUGCACUUAUUUAUCAAAAUUUCUUUUGAUAAAUAAAUAGGGAUUUUCAAAUAUAUUAAAUUUAUAUCGUAAAUUCAUCCAUCCAUCCAUUUUCUGUACAGCUUAUCCUCACUAGGGUCAUGGGCGUGCCGGAGCCUAUCCCAGCUAUCUUCGGGCGAGAGGCGGGGUAUACCCUGAACUGAUCACCAGCACAUACAGGUAUAAACAAACAAACAGGCGCAGUCACAUUCACACCUACUGGCAAUUUAGAGUCUUCAAUUAACCCACCAGGCAGUACUAUUAAAUACAGUGGAACAACUGAAGAUGAACACCCCUCAGGUUAUACAAUUCAAAGUCUACAAAUGUUUAGAAAAAAUAUGCCUCGAGGCACCUGAUGUACUAAAGGUUUGCACAUACAAAAUUGGGUGCAAACUUGAUGGUUCAUGCAAACAGUGGCACAUGAUGAGGAAGCUGAUCUACUAACUGGGCGCACCAAGGAACGGGAAAUAUUGCUGCACGAUUUCCUUUUACAUGCUCUGGGAGGAGCAUAUGCAAAUAAAUGAAUUUAGCACGCACAGUGUGAUUCAGCAAACCUAAUACAAAUUGGGAUGGCAUAUUUUGCAUCUUUAAUACUGUGUUUGAAAGGCAGGUGAAAAUCAGCACGCACACUGAUGCCUGGAUAGCGCAACCAAAAUGAGAAGCGAUGGGGAAAACUUUACCACUUGUGUAAACAUUUCUGAAAUUCCAGAAACCAUAAAUAUUAUCACAAAUAGUCUAUUCACCAAUGCAAUUUUGGAGCUUCUGAAUGAGCUCAAGGCUGACUUGGAGCCAGUCACAAGAAAAUUGUUGUAUGCAAGUAACUAUCCGACGACCCGCAUCUGUACUCAACCGAUUGUGUUCUUCUUCGUCUCUGUCCUCCUCCCGUGCCCACCGCCUCGCCGUCUGCUCCAGCCACGAUGCCAGGUGACCCCACCUCCUCACGUCCCCGCUUCCUGCUCCCUCCUUGUCCCGACGGUGCACCAUCUCGCCUUGGAUAUCCUUACCCUGAGCCAAUUCCCAAUAAAUCAUUCUCAUGUCGUCCCUCCGCCUCAGUCUGCUCUUGGGUCCAAUCCAAUACAAUACGACAGAAUACUCAUGCCAACAUGGACUCAGCAACAACGGAAGUGUUGAGAGAAACACUCGCCCACUGGUGCGCUCAUAUCGGCAGACAAGACAAAGCCCUCCGCAAAAUCAUGGGCUCCCUGAAUAAUCUCACACAACAAGUAGCUCUCCUGUCCUCCCAGAGCCCCUUCAGCAACCCUUCGAUGAGUAUUCCUCCCGAGCCCGCAGCAUCCGAUCAACCCCACCUCCCGUACAAAGAGCCUCACAUUCCUCCUCCCAAACCAUACUCCGGGGACCUAGGUUCAUGUAGUCAAUUCUUACUAAACUGCUCAUUAGUCUUUGACCUUCAACCGCUUAGUUACCCCAAGUACAAAUCCAAAAUAGCAUUUAUCAUUAACCUUCUGUGCGGAAGAGCUGCCAAAGGUGCUACCGCGCUUUGGCAUAAUUUCUCCCAGGUAUUUACGUCACUCGACUCCUUUAUGGCGGAAGUAAAGAAAGUCUUGGAUCACCCUGUUAAGGGUAGGGAAUCCACUUGGCGCCUCCUAGCUCUCACUCAAGGUUCGAGUUCCGUGGCAUCAUACUUUAUUGAUUUCUGGAUGGCGAGUGCGGUUUCAAGGGGUUAUCUGAACAAUUUAAGGACGAGCUCGUGACCAGGGAAGAACCCACCUCACUCGAGAAUUUAAUUUCGUUAGCGAUCCACAACCGCCUCCGAGAGAGAGUUUGUGAGCAGGGAGCUAAGAUGCGAAGUUUUGCUCCACCCACCAUGGCUGCGCCUCCAACGUCCCUGCCGCACACUGAACCCCCACUGGGCCAAAGGAGCCUAUGCAACUAGGCAGGACCCGGUUAGAUCCCCAGGAACGACAGCGCCGCUUCACUCAACGAUUAUGCAUCUAUUGUGGACAGCCUGGUCACUUCAUUGCCACGUGCACUUUCAAGCCAAAAGAAUAUGACCUGAGAGCGUCGUGGUGAGCCAAACCAACACCUCCCCAAGCUCUCCCUCCCGUAUGACUGUUCCCGCAUGUAUUCUUGGUUCCCUUCGCAACACACCAGUCCCUGCCCUUAUUGACUCUGGCGUGGAUGACAAUCUUAUCCAUGAGGGCUUGGCGUGUCAGCUUCAGCUUCCCCUCGAGCCCCUCCCGUUCCCUAAGAAGGUUAUGGCCCUUGACAGGCGACUCAUAUCCCCUGUCACCCACCAAACUGCACCAUUCAACCUGCUCAUUUCUAGGAAUCACCAUGAAACACACACAGUUUUUUGGUCAUCCCUUCCCGGGAGAUGCCACUUGUCUUUGGCAUUCCUUGGCUCAAACAACACAACCCUGCCAUAGAUUGGGCCCACCUGUCAAUCACUGGUUGGAGUCAUUCCCACUGUCUUCUUUUUGGUCGUCCUGUCCUCCAGCACACCUCAGCCACCAGUAACACCUAUCGAUCUCUCCCGGGUUCCAGAAGAUUAUCACGAUCUAUUCCCCUGUGUUCAGCAAGGACCUCACCAUCUCUCUUCCUCCCCACUGCCCCUAUGAUUGCGCCAUUGACCUCUUGCCGGGAGCCCCUCUUCCCUCCAGCCGACUCUUUAAUCUCUCCCAUCCCGAAAAAGAGGCGAUGGAAAAUUAUAUCCGUGACUCCCUUGCUUCAGGACUUCUCUCCCUCUUCUUCCCCCGUGGGCUGGCUUCUUCUUCGUGGAAAAGAAAGAUACCACUCUCUGCCCCUGUAUUGAUUUACGAGGCCUUAAUGACAUCAUGGUAAAAAACAAAGCGCUACUGCCCCUUAUUGACCCCUCUUUUGAACCCCCCUGCGACGCCCAGAUUUUCACCAAAUUGGAUCUACGCAAUGCAUAUCAUCUUAUCCGCAUUAGAGUGGGGGAUGUAUACUUCACUUCGAGUGUCCCCGCCGUUUUUCAAACCUUAAACAAUGAUGUCCUCCGCGACAUGCUGAAGCGGUUUGUUUUUGUCUAUCUUGACGACAUACUCAUCUUCUUCCGCUCCCCCGAAGAACAUCGCCAGCAUGUCCGUCAAGUUCUCCAACAACUUCUUGAGAGCCACCUUUUCGAAAAACCUGAAAAAAGCGAAUUCCACCUCUCCUCUGUUCACAUCUUGCGUUACAUCAUUGCCAAAGGACAGUUACAACCAGACCCAGCAAAGACCCAAGCAGUCGUCAACUUCCCCACUCCCUCCCCCCGCAAGGAGCUUCAACGUUUCCUAGGUUUUGCCGAUUUCUAUCGACGUUUCAUCUGUGACUACAGCAAGGUCGCUGUACCUCUCACCAGUCUCACCUCCACCAGCUCACCUUUCCAUUGGACCGCUGUCGCAUCGCAAGCGUUCAAACGCCUCAAAGAACUGUUCACCAGUGUUCCCAUCCUGCGAUACCCUGACCCCUCCCUCCAGAUCCCAAGACCGGACUUCUUAACCGACUGUUCGUACCCGAUUCCGCACGCUCUGACGUCCUCCAGUGGGAACUCCAAGCUCACCUCCCGGCAUCACCUGCACCAUUUAUUUCAUCCAGCAACACUUCUGGUGGCCCAGCCUAGCCAAAGACACCCGAGAGUUUGUCCUAGCCUGCUCUGUCUGUGCCCGAGGUAAGGCUUCACAUCAACCCCCAGCUGGUCUGCUGCGCCCCUUACCCACUCCGAGCUGCCCUUGGUCCCACAUCUCCCUGGACUGCGUCACCGGCCUACCCCCAUAUGAAGGGGUAGGCCACCAUCAUUCUCACCAUUAUUGACAAGUUCUCCAAGUGUGUUCACUAUGUACCUCUUCCCAAAUUGCCCUCUGCUUUUGAUACUGCUAACCUUCUUGUCCUCCACGUGUUCAGACUUCAUGGUAUCCCUGUUGACAUUGUAUCAGUCCUCAGUUCUUAUCCCAGGUCUGGAAAGAGUUCUGCAAAGCGGUGGAUGCAGCAGCCAGUUUGUCUUCCGGCUACCACCCCCAAACCAACGGCCAGACGUAGCGGGCAAAUCAAAACCUGGAAUCUGCUCUUCGUUGCGUCGCUGCUCUCCAUCCCGCCUGGUGGUACAUCUUCCUCCCAUGGGUGGAAUAUGCCCACAACUCCCUUACCUGCUCCGCCACAGGUAUGACUCCCUUUAUGGCAUGUUAUGGUUUCACACCUCCGUUGUUUAAAGAUCAAGAGCAUACUGUGGCGGUUACCGCGGUGUGGGAGCAUCUUCGACGGGUCCAGUCUGUGUGGAAGGACGCCAGGGCUGCUUUAACUUGGUCGACGGACAAAAAUAAGCGGCUGGCGGAGCUUCAUUGAUCCCCUACUCCGGAAUACAAGGUGGGUCUGAUGGUUUGGCUCUCCUCCCAUGACCUCCCACUCCAAACAAAAUCCCGUAAGCUCGCUCCUCGCUACAUUGGUCCAUUCCCUAUCACCAAACUCAUUAAUGCCACCUCGGUUUAAUUGAAACUCCCCCAAUCCCCCAAGAUCCACCCAACAUUCCACGUGUCUCUGCUUAGGGCGGUCUCCACCAUUACCCAGUAUCCUUACCCUUAGCCAAUUCGUAAUCAAUCAUUCACAUCUACACCCUCCACCUCAGUCUGCUCUUAGGUCCAAUACAACACAAUAUGAUUCCGAAUCGUGACAAUUAUUAUUAUUAUUAUUAUUUAUGUGCUUAUUUGUCUUGCAUUAAAAUCACUGAAUCAUUCAACAUUCAAACUUCAUUUUGUGCUUUCAGUGCUCUCCUAAAUGUUCUAUGGCAAAAACCAUGACAGCUACAUAAAGUUAGUGGAGAUUGUCACUGCUAUGAUACACAGACAAUGUGAGGGGGUACCCUUAUUAAAUCCAGAUUGAGCUGGUGAUAACCACUGGCAACUUAAAUACACUAUAUUGGCAAAAGUAUUCGCUCACCUGCCUUGACUCACAAAUUAUCUGAAGUGACAUCCCCUUCUUAAUCAAUAGGGUUAAAUAUGACAUCGGUCCACUUUUUACAGCUACAGUAUAACAGCUUUACUGCUUCUGAAAAGGCUUUCCACAAGGUUCAGGUGUGUUCAAGGUUGCAAUCCGUAACCUCAGCUUCUUGUACCGUAUGUGAUCAGAAGAGCUCUUGUUCUGACAAAGAGAAAUAGCUGAACAUUUGGAGGAGAUUGUUUGCAAUUUUCACUCAUCCCUUUGGAGAAUCUCGCUCAUACCUUUUAGAUAUGCAGAACAUUUAGGGGUUUCCCUUAGCUAUAGGACAAUGAAAACAGAAACCUCUCUAGACAAAAAACAGGUAGAGAACCAGGACCAAUGGAUAUUCUGAACAUUUAGAUGAAAUUACUGAAAUCCACCAACUAUUUUUCUUCUUUACAGUGAGUGUGAAAAGUUACAGGCGGUGACAAACAGAAUGUGUCAACUGGCCAAAUAAAUAGUCACAAUCCCCUUUGGUGGUUGCAGAACUGGCACAUGAAUUAACUAUUCAUGAAGGUAAUUCCGCUCUAUCUCUCUCUGCCCUUAUUCAAAUGCUCUAAUUAAUCAGCUUUAAAUAGAUGGACAGACCUACAUUACUGACACAACUUCUCAUACACCUCCAUGUGUCUCAAACACAGAUGGUGCCACAGGCUAUUCCUACGCACAUGCACGUGUGUGAGUGUGUGUGUGCCUGUGCGUGUGUGCGUUUGUGUGUGUGUGUGUGUGUGUGCGUGCUUGUGGUAUAACACAACAUAAUUUGUAGAAUUUGGGUUACAUUGAGGUUCAGAUAUUCUCAAAAUUAUUUUAUUUCCGGCCCAUGCAUGUAACAUCACAAAUCCAUCUUAUGAAAACAUUGUGAUGUAACUCCUAAUUAUGCUUUAAAAAAUGAUCCAUUACGUUUUUGCCAGUGGCUGUUUUAUUAGGCCCACCAACAAAAUCCAAAUAUAUCCAGUACAUUAGCUGCACAAAACAUUUUAGCUUUGUAGAUGAGACUGAUUAAAUUAAGUUAACCAAAAUAUUGGAUACACAUUUCAUGAUGUUGAAAUAUCGUUCAAUACUAUUGCAAAUUAAAACUGCAUUCAUAAACAUGUUGGCAAAUUAGGAUGCAUUUACAUUUCAUAGUGUAUGAGACUCAAUUCUGGUGUAUUUCUCCCAUGUGGCCCAAUCUCAGAUAUGAAUUAUAGCAGCCUGAACACAUGGAAUUGAAUAUAUCUGAAACCAAAUCAGGCCUCAAUCAUUUGCAAAUAAAAAUCUGAUAUGAAUCUGAUAUCUGCAAAUGUGACUGUAGUGUAAAUGUUCAGAGCAGAUAAGAGUCACCCUAUUAUUGUUACUGUUUUACACCAAUCGGUGAUGUAUACAUUUGCUGUGUACCCAAAUAAAACUACAGCAACAGCUCAGACAUGCAUAUAGAGCCUGAGCAGGGAAAACAAUGGCUGAUGGCAAUGAAGUAACACUGAGUUGAUGGCAACAGAAGCCAGGCAACAGGCAACAGAAGCCAGGCCAAAUUAGCCAUCAUGUACACCAAAAAAAUACAAUUACAAGAUAAUCUCCACUGUAGGUGUAGAGCAGGGUUAUGAGUCACUUCAAAAUAGAUGUAAAUAGUCCAAAAUACCAAAUAUUGCCUCUAGAUCAGAAUUGGGAUUUUGCACAUGCAGUCCAAAUGCAGCCUUCAUACCUCCCUGACAAAGUCAAUCAAACUGGCCAUUAUUCUCAUUUGAUCAGAAAUUGGCUGAUAUGGCUCAGUGCUUCACUGUGUCAAAAAACUGUGUCAAAUUCUCUUUUGUUUUGGUCAACACUCAACAUGUUAUUCUUUAUUUGUCUUAACCACACUCUUAGCUGUUAGACUUGAGUACAGUACAUUCGCAAUUGAAAUGACCGAACUCAUAAGCGUUUCUGCAUAGUUUUCAGUAAAAAGCAGUACAUACAGAUGUUCUUUGACCUUUUGAUGAGCAACUCAGAAAGGGGUGGUGAGCAACUUGUCGUGAGCUACCUGGAGACGCUGGAUUUAAACUGUGCUGGUGUACAUACUGAAAUAAGCUGUCAAUCGCAAUGUCGUUAAAACAAAUGCUCUUUAUUUUUCCCUUUCUGACACAAAAUCACAGUCAGAUGUUUGUCUGGCUGUCUUUCGUAUCCUUCUGAUUGAACAUUUUGAAUAGGAACACACGUAGAUUUUGUGGCAGUACAGUGGUUAGAAACCAUUAGUAGCUCUUUCAUUAUCAAACAUCCUAUAAAGAAAAAGCUACAUCAAACAUAUUGAGAUGGUCAUAGUGUUGCUGUCGCUGAUCUUUUAAAUGAUUAUUCCAUCACUAAUGAGUUUUAUUAUUUAAUAGCAACUGUAUUUAAUGCUGCUGCUUUUUCGAAGUGGAAAUGGGGUAUGGCAUUUCACUUGAUAUUACACAUAGACAGUACAUCAUUCACUGGCGUAAGGCGGACUUCUCGCAUCUGUUAAACCAUCAAUUUUCAGGAAAUCAAAAAACGGCAUGUUUAUUGAGCAAUUAAAAUUGCAUUGUCAAAGAGAUCAAAACAUUUUUAACACUUUAGAUUGGUAAAAAAAAAAUUUAAAAUAACCCACCCACGUGGGGACUGACCAGUAGUAUACAGUGGGAUGAAAAAGUAUAUAAACCCUUUAGAAAUUCUUACAUUUCUGCAUAAAUUGGUCAUAAAAUGUGGUCUGAUUCAUCUAAAUCAGAAUAAUAAACCAACAAGGUCUGCUUAAACUAAUACAACACAAACAAUUCACAUAAACAUUCACAGUACAGGGUGGAAAAAGUAAGUGAACCCUUAGAUUUAAAAAUGGUUUGACCCUCCUUCGGCAGCAAUAACCUCAACCAAACAUUUCCGGUCGUUGAAGAUCAGACGUGCACAACGAACAGGAUGGAUUUUGGACCAUUCCUCUGACAAAACUGUUGCAGUUCAGCAAGAUUCUUGGGAGAUCUGCUGUAAAUAGCUCUCUUGAGCUCAUGCCACAGUGUCUCAACUGGGUUGAGGUCAGGACUUUGACUUGGCCAUGUAUGUUCUUCUGAAGCCAUUCUGUUGUUUCCUUCUGUGUUUUUGAUCAUUGUGCUGUUGGAACGCCAAUCCUCUUUUGAGCUUCAACUGUUUGACAAAUGGCCUGAAGUUCUUCUUCAAAUAUCUUGAUAAACUUAAUUUGAAUUAAUUUCUCCAUAGAUGAUAGCAAGCUGUUCAGGCAUUACGCCCAUAACAUGUUGCUCCCUCCACCAUGCUUCACAUUUGGUAUUAGGUUUUGAUGUUGGUGUGCUGUACCAUUUUCCCUCCACACAUGACUUGUGUUACUCGUAAACCAUUCAACUUUGGUUUCAUCUGUCCACAGACUAUUUUGCCAGUAGUGCUGUGGAACAUCCAUGUGAUCUCUAGCAAACUUCAAACGUGCAGCAAUGUUUUUUGUAAAUUAUUAUUUAUUUUUUUAGACAGCAACGGCUUCCUCCAUAGUGUUCUCCCAUUCUUGAGCCCUAUUCUUCUUCAAUGUUUGAUGUAUGGCAGAUUUAGCGAUAUGUUGGCAUGUGCCAGUGAUUUCUGUAAGUCUUCAGCUGACACUGUCGGGUUCUUUUUUUUUUUUUUUUUUUUU